rnacentral:lncRNA from 1 species
CCUUUUUUUACUCACUGGAAGGUUGUCAUGUUGACUCUGAGGGACUUGAGCAAAAACGCCUGCGUUGGCGGCUCAGGAGGGAAGCGACGAACAGAAUCAGCUCCAGCAUCGAUUGUUCAAAGGGAGGAAAAUUCCACGCUCCUGCUGCAGGAAUCAGGCGAGAUGAGCCAGGAGGUGGCGGGGCAGGAGAAAAUGGGAGUAAUCCUUUAAAGCAAGCCCAGACAGAAAAGGCCUUGUCCCUGGGCCACCCCGAGACGUUAUCCUGAGCCCUGGAAGCUCUGUGUGGCUGGCCCAGCAGUUGCAGCCUCACUGGACAACGAGUGCUGAGCCCUGUGCUAACUCCGUGACGCUGCAAGGGAAGGCCGGUCACGCUGAGAGGCAAGGAGUUCACCGGAGAAAUGCUGGCUCCAAGUCUUUACAAUUUGCUUUGCCGCUAAUUCCCCUUAGAGUGCAGAGGAUGCAAGCAAAGGUGUCGGUAGUUAAUCCAAUAAUUAAAAACAAA